GGGUCAGUAGGUUGGUCGUGCCACCGGUACGUACUGGUCUCACUGAUUCCUCCUUCCUGAAGAACCGUAAUGCCAUUAAUUUGGUGUUGCGGGGACACAGGACUGUUACUUUGAAAAAAUUAGAGUGGUUAAAGCAAGCUAACGCUUGAAUACAUUAGCAUGGAAUAAUGAAAUCAGACGAUCGAUCCUAUUUUGUUGGUUUCUAGGAUUGACGUA
rnacentral:rRNA from 1 species